rnacentral:rRNA from 1 species
CCCUACGGGAGGCAGCAGUGGGGAAUAUUGCACAAUGGAGGGAACUCUGAUGCAGCGACGCCGCGUGAGUGAAGAAGUAAUUCGUUAUGUAAAGCUCUAUCAGCAGGGAAGAAAGUGACGGUACCUGAAAAAGAAGCUCCGGCUAAAUACGUGCCAGCAGCCGCGGUAAUACAUAGGGGCAAGCGUUAUCCGGAAUUAUUGGGUGUAAAGGGUGCGUAGACGGAAGAACAAGUUGGUUGUGAAAUCCCUCGGCUCAACUGAGGAACUGCAACCAAAACUAUUCUCCUUGAGUGUCGGAGAGGAAA